rnacentral:rRNA from 1 species
AACGAACGCUGGCGGCAGGCUUAACACAUGCAAGUCGAGCGCCCCGCAAGGGGAGCGGCAGACGGGAGAGUAACGCGUGGGAAUCUACCCAGUUCUACGGAACAACUGAGGGAAACUUCAGCUAAUACCGUAUACGCCCUACGGGGGAAAGAUUUAUCGGAAUUGGAUGAGCCCGCGUAAGAUUAGCUAGUUGGUGAGGUAAUGGCUCACCAAGGCGACGAUCUUUAGCUGGUCUGAGAGGAUGAUCAGCCACACUGGGACUGAGACACGGCCCAGACUCCUACGGGAGGCAGCAGUGGGGAAUAUUGGACAAUGGGCGCAAGCCUGAUCCAGCCAUGCCGCGUGAGUGAUGAAGGCCUUAGGGUUGUAAAGCUCUUUCAGUGGGGACGAUAAUGACGGUACCCACAGAAGAAGCCCCGGCUAACUUCGUGCCAGCCGCCGCAGUAAAAC